CGACAGCAGGAAGAUCACCUUCCUGGAAGUUACAAGACACAGGCUUAGAAAAAGCUCACGUUCUCUCUAAAGAAUGAGAAAGAUGACUGCAUGAUCAGAAGAAAUCACCUCAAAAAGCACAUGGGCUUGGCUUAGGUAAGAUGCAUGGCUACACCAUGACCUGGACAGACAUCUUAAGUGAAUUCCAGCACUUCCAAACAAGUCUACAAUGGAAAUUUCUGUUUCAUCUGCUCCUGGAAACAGUUAUCAGCAUGGUUUAUAUGCAUAAACCACCAGAUAAAAGACUCCUGAAGACCCUCUCAUUCUUCAGGUAAAAAAAUAAAUCAUAAGAAAGUGCAGUAAUACCUCCAAGAAUCUGAGUUCAGAUCCUAUGAUUCAACGAUUAAUUCACACUUUUCUGCUCCUCAACUGCUUAUGCUUAGUCUGUAUGCAUGGAUAGCCCUCAUGGAUGUGGCUGGAGUCAAUACACAACAAAUGCUUAACCAACUAAUCAACCAAUCAAUUAACAAUCAAUAAACACUUAAUUGCCAAAAGAAGCAAGGUCCUUUAAAGCUUGGAAGCCAUUUUUCAUCUGAUGAAGGCCACCAACACUGUGGACCCCCAAGUGUGGUACAGAGACCGGAGAAAGAAUAAAAAAGUUACACCCAAAUAACCCCUAGCCACAAGUGAAACUAAGUGCACUUAUAAUUUAAACUCCCCAUGGUAUGCAGUUUCGGGGUACAUAUUUUAAUUCUUGCUUUACUUCACAUCACAACCUUUUGACAAACACUUUAUGCAGUAUUUAAAAAGGGAAAUGGGUUAUCUGAACAGUGUCAGAACACAAUAGCUGAUACUUACAAUAUUUUAGCCCUGCUGCUCAGUCUGUACAAAUCCUGAUGAAGUUAAUCCUGUUGAUGCAAAGUGAGCAGCUCACGUAAAUCUGCCAGGGACCUCUAUCACUGAGCUGCAAGAGUUCAGAGCACGUGAGCAAAAUCACUCUCCGAAGUAAUGGAGCUUGAGCAUUACAAUCAAAUAAUCACACUCAGGCUUCUUUCAUUUCUUUUCAGCACAUACUGCCAAUUGGUCAUCCUGUGGGGAAAGAUUAGGAUGUGUUCUGUAAUGACAUUGAAAAUGUACAUUAACAAUUAAUGCAAUUCAUUAUCACACUAUUUUAAAAAUGAAUGCAAAUUGUUUUUUGAAUGGUAUCCAAGCCAAUUUGAUUUAGAGUAACUGCUUGCAGCA